UACGUAGGAGGCGAGCGUUGUCCGGAGUUACUGGGCGUAAAGGGUGCGCAGGCGGUCCGUGCAAGUGUGGGGUGAAAUCUCCCGGCUCAACCGGGAGGGUGCCGCGCAAACUGCCGGACUUGAGGCUCGGAGAGGGGCGUGGAAUUCCGGGUGGAGCGGUGAAAUGCGUAGAGAUCCGGAGGAACACCGACGGCGUAAGCAGCGCCCUGGACGAGACCUGACGCUCGGGCACGAAAGUUGGGGGAGCAAACAGG
rnacentral:rRNA from 1 species